GGCAACAAUGCGAUGGUAACCGCGAGCCUGAGCUAAACCAAGCGAUACAUGAAACCGUAGAUCAAAACACCCUAGAGACUAAUCAAGACGCUGUAUUCGAGAUCCCUACUACGAACAGAUUCACACCACUCCAAUCUGGACAAUCUAGCCCUACAUCAGCACAGCAUCCUUCAGAUAAUUCCACACGGGACCGCUCCCAAGACAGACCCCGUACAAGAUAUGAGAGAAACCAUGCUGGGAAGAGAAACCAUGUUGUUUUCUUGGCAGAUUCGAAUUCAAAAUACAUCGACAGACAGAAAAUGUGUAGAGAUAAAAAUGUCGAUUAUCUUUUCUGUCCCACUUUCGAAAGCGCUCAAGAAGUUCUAAUCUCAGCUGAUUUCGGUACCCCCUCACAUGUUCUCAUCCACACCGGUACUAAUGAUCUUGAGCACACAGCUAUCGACGACUGUGUAGAUGCCGCCAAAUUAUUAAUUGACACCUCAGCACAAAAGUACCCGCAAUCACGUAUCCUGAUAUCUACAUUGCUCGCACGAGCUGACCGCCUUGAUGAAAAACGCAAACUAUUUAACACUCAACUACGAGCUUUCCAUGUGCCACCUACUGUUUAUUUUAUCGACAACGAGAACAUAAGUGCUGAUAUGCUCUACGACAACAAGCAUAUUCUACGGCGUCGUGUUGGAGUUCUUGUCGCCAAUUUUAAAGAUGCAAUUUUUAAUCGUGCAGCUAGCCCUAAAUCCCCCAUUACGAAACAACACAAACCGAAAAUCAGAGAUGCCGCAGAAUCUUUGGCCGCGACUGCCCGAAGCCCCUCAACAUGAUGACAGACCACAACACAGGGCUCCACCUCGUAACUUCCCAAUCGAGAACGCUCCACCGAAACAGCCCUUCCCAGGUCCCAUGCCUACCAUGCACCCGCCUCAAUCACCGUCCUAUGCUGAUGUCGUAGACAGGAGGAAAAGUUUGAUGGAUGAUAAUACUAUCAUGAAGCUAUUCAAACUUUAUGAAAUGAUCCGUGAGUUGUAAUCAACUUAGUAAGAGAAUGCAGUUGGUCUUGACCCCGUUCUUUUGCCCAAUGGAUGAUCUGGUUCUUAUCUCAACCAGUGCUUCGGGACUACAAAAAUCGAUUAGUCUGAUCGAUCAUUUCUGUAAAGAUUGGUUAAUGUCUGUAAAUCAAAAGAAAACAAAAGUAGUUAUUUUUCAAAAAUAAUGCCGGAAACUGACUCUUCAAAAAUUUCGCUUUUUCUUAAACGGCUCACAACUAGAUUGGUAACGUAACAGAAUAUAAAUACUUAGGAUGUACUUUUACUACAAACGGUAAUUUCACAACUUCGAAACUGCGGUUAGUUGAAAAAACAAGACGCUCUAUCUUUGCAGUCAAGCGCUAUCUCAAUUUUAAUAGAUUCCCUAUCAAGUUAAAUAACAAGUUAUUUAACGCACUCUUCUCGCCGAUCCUAUUGUACAACUCGGACAUAUGGGGAGCUUACGAUGCGAUAAAUGUUCAAAAAUGGGAAACAGACCCCGUAGAACGCUGGCAUUGCCAAUUUUUCAAAUACUACUUUGGCUUGAACAAACGCGCCCCGAAUGUCUCUGCCGAAAUGAGGCAGGCAGAUUAUCGCUAAAAUCAACAAUAUUACGUAACACCCUACUGUUUUGGCUCCAUAUUCAAGCAUUACCAGAAAAACAAACAAUGCCUAAACAAUGCCUAAAAAUUUCUGGCGAAUUGACAUGUUCGGGUAAAUCGAGCUUCAUGUCCUCAAUAUGUAAGAUACUGAAACAUUUGAUGCCCCAUAUAAUAAGGAGACGAUUUAUAACAAAUUUAAACUAGAAAAAUUAAUCACAAAUAUUACAAACGAAUCUAAACGUCAUCAAAUGGGUCUUAUAAAUCUGAACAAAAAGCUAAUUUUUUACUACUCUUUCAAAAAAGACACAAAAUCUAGUGAAUGCUAUGAUAAAAUACUUAAGAUGGAACACAGAAAAGCUUUAGCCAAACUCAGACUAGGGAAUCUUAAUCUAAACAUAGAAACAGAAAGACACACAAAACCUCCGAUUCCAAGAGAGAAGCGUAUCUGCCAGAUUUGUAACACUUUAGAGGAUGAAAAACAUUUCAUGCAUUUCUGCGUCUCAUCCCACUCUGAACGAAAGCAAUUAUUUUCUGAUAUCCAAUCCCACUACAUUUUCUUUGACAAUCUAAGUAAUGAUGAUAAAAUUCUGUUCCUUUUUAAUAAUGUUGACCCUUUUGUGAAUAAGAAAGUAGCCCACUUUAUAUGCAAAACAUUUAAAUAAAGACCGAAUACUCUCAUUUAAGCCAUAUUAUGUUAUGCAAUACCAUCAAUGUAAAUGGAAUGCAAAUAAAUAAAUGUAAAAUGUAACUUCA